UUUCGUGGAGGGUUCGAUUCUGGCUCAGGAUGAACGCUGGCGGCGUGCUUAACACAUGCAAGUCGAACGGGAUCUGACCAGCUUGCUGGUUGGUGAGAGUGGCGAACGGGUGAGUAAUGCGUGACCAACCUGCCCCAUGCUCCAGAAUAGCUCUUGGAAACGGGUGGUAAUGCUGGAUGCUCCAACUUGACGCAUGUCUUGUUGGGAAAGUGUUUAGUGGCAUGGGAUGGGGUCGCGUCCUAUCAGCUUGUAGGCGGGGUAAUGGCCCACCUAGGCUUCGACGGGUAGCCGGCCUGAGAGGGCGGACGGCCACAUUGGGACUGAGAUACGGCCCAGACUCCUACGGGAGGCAGCAGUGGGGAAUAUUGCGCAAUGGGGGAAACCCUGACGCAG
rnacentral:rRNA from 1 species